rnacentral:tRNA from 1 species
GCAUUGGCAGUUCAGUGGUAGAAUUCUCACCUUCCAUGUGGGAGGCCCAGGUUUGAUUCCCAGCCAAGGCA